rnacentral:rRNA from 1 species
CACGUAGGUGGCAAGCGUUAUCCGGAUUUACUGGGCGUAAAGCGUGUGUAGGUGGCCUGUUAAGUGGUGUAUGAAAUCGCCCGGCUCAACCGGGCGGGGGUAUGCCAGACUGGCAGGCUAGAGGGUGGGAGAGGGAUGUGGAAUUCCGGGUGUAGUGGUGAAAUGCGUAGAGAUCCGGAGGAACCCCAGAGGCGAAGGCGGCAUCCUGGCCCACGACUGACACUCAGACACGACAGCAUGGGGAGCGAACGGG